AGAAGUGUCCAGACUGGCCCUGAAGCAAGAGUAAAUCCGGUUAAGACGGAAGAAAGAACUGCCACCGAGAGACAGCAGUUGAAAGAGGAGGAAUCCUAAGUCCUGUGGAUUCUGACCGACAGACCUGCGUUGCCUAGCUUGCUCUUCAUUGCUGCUUUGAACUCAGACUGAGUAAAGACCUCAAAGUAUUCUGCAAAGGCACCAAGGAUUUCUUCAGGCCAAGAUGUCAUCUCUCAUCUGCUACUAAAGCACCUUUGCAAUGACAUCUUCUGCGAUCUUGUGAUCUUUCAGAUGUACAGAGGUAGAGCCCAGAGGUACUGCCUAGCCUGGAUGGAGCCACUCAGCCACCCUGGGGAGUCCUGCUGGCCACCAACUCCCUUUGGAGAACUUCUACAACCACAGUCAGCCCAAGACCAUAGGCAGACUGAGCAAGACUCAAGGGGCUUUUCCACUCCUGUGCACCAGGGGGCACCGAGAAGGAGGCAAGAGGCUCAGGCGGGGAUAUCUCAGACUGCUUUUCAGCACUCAAGAGUGCCGGGACCUGGCUGGGAUUACACAGUGGGUUCUGCGGUGCGCUCAGUCCCUAGCUGCCUGGCAACUUCCGCUGCUUUCAAGGUCUAAUUUAGGAAUCUACGGAAAUGAGCAGAACACUGAGAGAGACACACCAGUGCAUUACAAAGGGACUCGCGGUCCACAGCCCACCGAAGCUGUUCCGAGCAGGGAUGCAGGGGGAAAUGCUCCAACAGGAUGUGUAUAGUUUAAGGUUCAGAGGGGUCUCUCCUGGCAAGAGAGACCAAACCUUAUAAUUAAGUAUCUCCGUUUCCUUUCAGAUAUCAACAGCAGCAACAACCACGUUCUCCCCACUGCCUAAACAGGACAAAUCCCGGGUUAAGCAGUUUCUGGUGGUCUUCACACACACACACAUACACACACGCAGAAAGGGAAAAAGCUGCCUGAAAGCAGCCUCUCCAGCCUCUCAGCACCUCCCCCUCCCCCUUGUUCCCUCCCCUAAUCCCCCCUCCCCAUUUGCAAUUAGGGGUAAUCUUUUGUUGCCUGGAAAGUGUAAAAAUCACCAGCUUUUCUUUUUGCAUGCAUAAUAUCCAUUUCCCCUCCAAGUGCGCUAUUUGGUUAGGGAAUUACAUCUAUUUACAAGAGUAGAUGUUGCACAAAGGUUGUGUUUAUGUGGAAAAUUAUAUCGGUGACACGGGCUGAUUGGCAUGUGGAGGCUGGGAGAGCAAGCCGAAGAGGCCUCCUCAUCAGCUUGGAAUAACAAAAUGAUUGUAUUUUCAGCAAAGCUAAUUGAUCACACACCUCACUGGGCUAUCUGUUUACUCAAAGGCCAUCCAGGCCCUGGGAAGGUGGAAAGGAGAGAGCAGCCGGCAGUGGUCACUACCAGGCGGGGCCAGCCAAGGCUCUAGGGGUAUGUAGCAGAGAUAGGAGGUAGAAUGAGUGGCCAGAACGAACCUCUGGGUCCUUCAGUUGUGCAGAGAUGGGCAGAUUCAAUGUUCCCUGAAAAACUAGGCCCAGACCCAACACUGGAAAUUUUGUCCUUUAAAAAAAAAAUUUCAUGUGGGCAUCAAGGCUUUGGGGAAGGGAAGGGCAGACCAGAGCAGGACCCAGAGCCACUGCAGAGAGAAGAUAUAUUCAUUCCCUUCCCCUUGGCAAUUUGAGAAACUAACCCCAUUUCAAGCAAAUGCUGAGCAGACUCAUUAAUCUGGUGGAGCAGAGGCUCUGGAACCCUGGCUCCACGUGUAUGUCCUGGCUCUCAUCCCAGUACACAUGGCAGAGUUAGGGAUCAGAUAUAGAGUACAACCAGCUUCCAAAUGUGCCCUGCAGAACAAAACCCCUAUCCCACCACCACAGAGGCAGGGACUAGCCUCAAGUCUGUGAUCUGCUUCCUUAUGAAGGAAUGCUGAGACUUAUGAAGAUAUGCUGAGACUUCCCCAAACUGACCAGUCAGGCUAGGAGCCCUAGGAGCCCCAGAGCCCAAGCAAUCUACAAAAGCAAGCAGAAUCCUAUUCCCUCCCUAGUUGUUUCCACUCCAGUUGUGUGGGCAGAAAACAAAGCAAUCGAGUAAGCAAGCACUUGGGUGAAAAUGACCAGUGACAGUAAAAAUAACUGUUUGGGGACUAGUGUGGGGGCAGAUUCACUGACCAGCACUUUGCAAAUGUGAAGGUCAUUUAGAAGCCACUGAUCAGAAACAUCAUCACCACCUGCCCACCCUACGAUGCGCUCACUUGGCUGUCUUGCAAAUGCCCCAGUGGAUCCUAUGACUAGUUAUUCUUUUACAGGGAUGUGCAAAGCACAGCUCCCAGCUUGUCGGGUUCUAACUCUGGUUUGGAAUCUUUCCAUUGCUGAUCAAUAUUAGACCUGGUAACUAUUUCCU
ensembl:lincRNA Gm12829 predicted gene 12829